GGGUGUGCUUCCUUGAGGGUGUGGGGGUGAGUUCUUCUGUAUUGGAGGGCUGUGAUCUACCCCUUUGCUGGGGGUUCAUAGCUGCAUUUUGGGGCUGGCAGCCAUCUGUACCUGGAAACUGCUUCUUUGGGGGAGCGAGUGAGUAUUGGUCCUUGGAAUGGGGUGGCAGCAGAGAGCUGCAGCGCUCCCGAGUGCUGUAAGGACUGCACGGAGAGAUGUGCAGGUCUUCACGGGAACAGCCAGGAACCGAAAGCUGCAUUUCCUGGGAUGCCCUGGAACUCCACUUUGCUGACUGGUAAUUGUCUGCCCAGCAGGUGGCAGCAGAGAGCUGCAGCACUCCCGAGUGCUGUAAGGACUGCACGGAGAGAUGUGCAGGUCUUCACGGGAACAGCCAGGAACCGAAAGCUGCAUUUCCCGGGAUGCCCUGGAACUCCACUUUGCUGACUGGUAAUUGUCUGCCCAGCAGGCAGGUCUUCAAUGAAGAUAUUGGACAGAACAGGCCUGAAGAGCACUCAGGAUGGCAUACCAGCUGCAUUUAACACGAUCGGAGCAGCACUCAUUAGGCCAGGCGGUUCAGCUAGUUCUUCAUCUAGCAAGCAACGUACCCGUCCAAGUAGCCGGCUGCAAUCUUUGAGAGAAUUUCGAGGGAUAGCACAUCAAAGGGUUUGCCUCACUCAUGGGGUUGGGUCACCUUCGCUUUGAGUUUGCUAGCGUGGCUGACCCUAAUCCCGUAACUGACAUCCUGUAGCUGGACAGGGACCAUUCGCACUCCAUCCAGUCUGUUUGAGACUCACGGCCAUGCUGAGAGUCACGCUGAUUUCAGCGCGUGCAGUCAUUUUGCAUCAACCCAAUUGGCUUUAGCUUUACAAAUAAUUUAUCUCAACCAAAUUGGCUUUAGCUUUGCAGUUAAUGCAUUGCAACUAAGUUGGCUUUAGCUUUGCCUUGCUUACGGGGUUGGGUUAGCUUUGCUUUGUUUGUUUGUACCGCAGGGCUAACCCAACCCCGUAACCAACGCCCGAGGCCUUUGGAGCCCAUUUGCGCUCCUUCCCGGCCAGUCUGAGACUCGCGCCCCUUUGCGCGGCCAUUCUGAGAGUUGCGCCGAUUUUGGCAUGUGCAGUCAAUUGAUCUUGCCCAAAUUGGCUUUAGCUUUGCAAUCA
rnacentral:lncRNA from 1 species